rnacentral:rRNA from 1 species
CCUACGGGAGGCAGCAGUGGGGAAUAUUGCACAAUGGGGGAAACUCUGAUGCAGCGACGCCGCGUGAAGGAAGACGUAUCUCGGUAUGUAAACUUCUAUCAGCAGGGAAGAAAAUGACGGUACCUGACUAAGAAGCCACGGCUAACUACGUGCCAGCAGCCGCGGUAAUACGUAGGGGGCAAGGGUUAUCCGGAUUUACUAGGUGUAAAGGGGGCGUAGACGGCAUGGAAAGUCGGUUGUGAAAUGUAGGGGCUCAACCCGUGGACUGCAUUGGAAACUGUCAGGCUGGAGUGCAGGAGUGGUAAGUGGAAUUCAUAGUGUAGCGGUGAAAUGCGUAGAGAUUAGGAGGAACACCAGUUGCGAAGGCGACUUACUGGACUGUAACUGACGUUGAGGCUCGAAAGCGUGGGGAGCAAACAGGAUUAGAUACCCUGGUAGUC